UGUACCUGUGUUUUAGUAGACUGGAACUACGUGCUUUGGUCCAAUUAGAGCACAACUGAGCUUUUCACCAACAGCCACGCUAAGUGGGUUUGGAACAAAUGAAACAAAUGAUGACUGUGUGGAAAAGCAAAGCAGGACCUGUGAACAUUAAUGAAUACGGAAGGAGAAAUAUUCUGCAAUAACACACCCUUCUUGCUCGACUCCUUUGAAAGUGACAUACAAACACAUGUACAUAGACAAAUGUGAUCUCACUGGGACAUUUAUCUCCCAGGAGCAGCCUUACUCUGG